AGAGCGAACGCUGGCGGCAGGCCUAACACAUGCAAGUCGAGCGCCCGUAGCAAUACGGGAGCGGCAGACGGGAUAGUAACACGUGGGAACGCGCCCUUCGGUUCGGAAUAACUCAGGGAAACUUGAGCUAAUACCGGAUACGCCCUUACGGGGAAAGAUUUAUUGCCGAAGGAACGGCCCGCGUCCGAUUAGCUAGUUGGUGAGGUAAUGGCUCACCAAGGCGACGAUCGGUAGCUGGUCUGAGAGGAUGACCAGCAUCACUGGGACUGAGACACGGUCCGGACUCCUACGGGAGGCAGCAGUGGGGAAUAUUGGACAAUGGGGGAAACCCUGAUCCAGCGACGCCGCGUGUGUGAAGAAGGCCUGCGGGUUGUAAAGCACUUUUAGUGGGGACAAAAGCUACGGAUUAAUACUCUGUGGUCUUGAUUUAACCCAAAGAAAAGCACCGGCUAACUCUGUGCCAGCAGCCGC
rnacentral:rRNA from 1 species